UAUUGGGCGUAAAGCGUCCCGAGGUGGCUUACCCAGUCGGCUGUGAAAGCUCAGGGCUUAACCUUGAAGCUGCAGUCGAAACUUGUAAGCUUGAGUACGGUAGAGGCAGAGGGAAUUCCCGGAGGAGAGGUGAAAUUCGUAGAUAUCGGGAGGAAGGCCAAAGGCGAAAGCACUCUGCUGGGCCGAUUACUGACACUGACAGACGAAAACUAGGGGAGCGAAAGGGAUUAAAUACCCCUGUAGUCCUAGCCGUAAACGAUGGAUACUAAGUGUUGCGCGACUCAACUCGUGCAGUGCUGCAGCUAACGCGGUAAGUAUCCCGCCUGGGGAGUAUGCUCG
rnacentral:rRNA from 1 species